UAAUUGGUGAGCCCGUGGGGCCCACCUUGUUUAUUUUUUUUAUGUUUUCUGAUCUCUCUCUUCUUCUUCUUCGUUUCUCCCUCCCGUAGCUCUCUCCUUCUCAACACUGCUUCUCUCAGUCUGAUCCCUCCCGUGGUACACAAGCCGUACACUGCUUCUCUCAUCUAGCAUGUCACAGUCUUCAACCAGUCUAUCAAUCUAUCAGUCUUCAAUUUCCAUGAUCCUCAAGAAUUAAAGAAUUCAAUUAUUCCAUCAUUCCAUAAAAAAGACAUUGAAGUUUAGUUAAUUGGUCAACAACCCAAAUUAUGGAAAGAUAUUUCAAAAGAAAAACACAACCUGAGAUAUUAGAACCGUCUCCAAAGAGUCCAAAGAACAAUGAAAGUAGUUCAAAACAAACUUGUGUGGAUUCUAUGGAAAUUAACUCGGAAACUCUCCAGUAUGAUCCUGGAUUGCGUAGACCGAUUUUGAGUUAUCAUCCUAAUGUUCGAGACCAAGUUCGAAGAGCCUAUCUCCAAAAUAAACCUUGUCAACCAAAAA